GGUCUGGUGGUGUAGUUGGUUUAUCACAUCUGCUUCACAGUGCGGCUAUCCCGGUGUACGCAGGCGGUCCUCGGUUCGAUCCCGGGCCAGAUCA